rnacentral:lncRNA from 1 species
GAAUGCCUACCGGGCCCUCAGCUCGUAUCUGGAAUGCUCCCAAGUCCUCAGUAUGAGUCUGGAAUGCCUACCAGGCCCUCAGCUCAUAUCUGGAAUACUCUAGGGUUUGUUGGCUACCGCACGGAGCAGUACAACCUCAACCCAUCCCAUAUAACAUAUCAAUAUGUAACAGAUAAUGCACAUACAGGCAAUCAAUCAGUAUCACAGGUAGUCCUACAGACCUACCCUCUAGCGUUUCAGCUAGCAUGCAUAACUAACUCUUACUCAAUAUACUACAACUACUAGGAUAUCAUAUCCAAUGGGCCAGCCUUGGUGCCUUAGACCCCUUCGUAUAGUGAGGAUAACUCACCUCGCAACUGUCGUUGGAAAUAAGAAAGCUCAACUCCCAGGUCCAACACGAACUCCACCACCUAUAUGUACCAUACAACCUUUUUCAUAAAUCUCCCAAUUACCAGAAACCAAUAGAAUUCAACUGGUAAACCCUUUGUCCAAGUCAAAGUCCACAAUCAGAGUUAACAGUCUAUGUUGACUCGACUCGUCGAGUGCAGAUCUCCGACUCGUCGAGUCCUUCCUGAAUUCGAAAAGUCGUGAAAUCCUUGAUUGGCUUGUCGAGUUUCCCUUUUUAACUCGUCGAGUUCAUACGUGGCCAAGAUUUGGAAGAAACCCUAGCCAACUCACCGAGUCUUCUAACAACUCGCCGAGUUUAAGUCAAUCUUCAACGAACUCGCCGAAUUGUUCAUCCAACUCGCCGAGUUCAUGGCCAUCUUCAAUGGACUCGCAGAGUUUCUCAUUCAACUCGCCGAGUCCUUGCAGUUCUUAAUCUAUGCAUAUGCUUUUAAGCCAUGGCAAGGUCCCAUAUUACAGAUCCAAGCUUCUAAGGUAUCUUUAUCACGUAAAGUUGCAAACUUUACGCACAUGCAAGGCUCUAAAGGCCCUAAAUGAUCAAUCCAAACUCUUAAUGGAGUUUUACACCUUGGGAGAGUCUCAUCCUUGAACAAGCUAGGAACUUUAUGAAUCUAGAGGUCAUGGGAAGUCCAAAUCUGAAGUUACAACUACAGAUCUUAGCUUAAACAUGGAGAGCCCUCCAUAACACCCAUCCAAGAGAGGUUAAAAGAGAAAUGAGCUUAAGGAAUAACCUAAUACCUUCCAGGGAGUGAUAACUGAGGAAAUCCCUUAGCUUCCCACGAGUUCUUGGCCUUGCUUUUCCUUGCUACCUCAAGUGCUUCCUUCUCCAAGGUUACUCCUCCAAACUUGAAUACACCAAGGAACACACACACAUGAUUUAGGGUUUGAGAGGGACAAGAAGCAGUAAGGGGAGGUUGGUGGAGGCCAAUGAUCUUUUAAAUAGGGUGCAAAACCCCCAGAAUUUAGGGUUUCAUCUACUAGGUCCUACUCGUCGAGUCCCUUAGUGGACUCGCCGAGUAGGUCACUAAACAUGCGUUCUAUUCCCGCUGCUACUUGACGAGUAGGGCAACCAACUCGCCGAGUAGGACAUAAGGCCAAUUAUUCUUUAUUUAAAUGUAUACCUGGAAUCGGGGCGCUACAAUUAUUCCCCACUUGAACUAGACUUCGCCCUCGAAGUCUGCUGCGGUGAACAGUCCCGGAUAAUGCUCCUGCAUUUCUGCCUCUGCCUCCCACGUCCAUUCGGACCCCUUCCGGUGCUCCCAUUGUACCUUCACCAAAGGUAUUUCCUUGUUCCUUAGUAUCUUCACCUUUCUUUCCAGUACGGCCACGGGCGUCUCCACAUAAUUCGGGCGCUCAUCUACCUGAAUAUCAUCCAAUGACACCACUGCCUCCUGAUCCAUGACGCACUUUCACAGCUGCGAAACGUGGAAAGUGUUGUGUAUCCGACUAAGCUCCUCUGACAGCUCUAGCCUGUAAGCCACCUUGCCAACCAUGACAAUGAUCCUUAACAACCCGAUAUAUCGGGGACCCAAUUUUCCCCUUCUCUUGAAGCGGAUCACGCCCUUCCUGGGCGAGACCUUCAGGAGUACCAUGUCCCCCACCUGAAAUUCCAACUCGGAUUGACGUUUGUCGGCAUAACUCUUCUGUUGACUCUGAGCGGUCUGCAAGCGCUGUCUAACUUGCUGGAUCUUUUCGGUAGUCUACAAGACUACCUCCGUACUACUCAUCACCCUGUGUCCAACUUCGCCCCAACAGACCGGGGUGCGACACCUCCGCCCGUACAAUAGCUCGAAUGGCGGGGUGCCAAGGCUAAAAUGAUAGUUGUUGUUGUAGGAGAACUCCGCAAGUGGUAGGUGAGAGUCCCAGCUCCCACCGAAAUCAAUGAAACAUGCCGUCAACAUGUCCUCAAGCGUCUGAGUAGUCCGCUUGCUCUGGCCGUCGGUCUGCGGGUGGAAUGAUGUGCUGAAGUGCAACCGCAUGCCCAACUCCUCGUGAAAGUUUUGCCAGAAGCGGGAGAUAAACCUGACAUCCCGAUCAGAGACAAUAGAGACAGGAACCCCAUGGCGAGACACGAUCAUCCGAACAUACAAUUCGACCAAUUUCUCGGCCUAUGAGCCCUCUCGUAUAGCCAAGAAACUGGCGCUCUUGGUCAAUCGAUCCACGAUGACCCAUAUAGCAUCAAACCCCUUUGCCGUCUUCGGCAAUUUGGUAAUAAAGUCCAUCGUGAUCUGUUCCCAUUUCCACAUGGCAAUCUCUAGAGGCUGCAGCUUUCCAUGCGGCCUCUGAUGCUCGGCCUUGACCAUCCUACAGGUCAAGCACCUCUGAACAUACCGAGCUAUUUCCCGCUUCAUGUACGGCCACCAAUAGCUCAACCUCAGAUCUCGAUACAUUUUGGUGGCCCCCGGGUGAAUAGAGAAAUGGGACUUAUGAGCCUCCUCCAUAACCGUCUGCCUAACCUUGCCCAUCAUCGGGACCAAAACCCGACCACAUCGGGUUAAUAGUCCCUGACUAUCCUACACAAACUGGGCGUUCUCGCCUUUGAUACUCUCCAACUUCCAAUUUUCCAGGCGGAUGCCCUCAACCUGGGCAUCUAUGAUCAAACCUACCAACGGAGAAUCCACUAUUAUCCUCAUACAUACUGCUGGAGUGGAAGACCCUACUGACUUGCGGCUCAAAGUGUCCGCCACUACAUUCGCUUUACCGGGAUGGUAAAGGAUCUCGCAAUCGCAUUCCUUGACUACGUCCAGCCACCUGCGCUGCCUCAUGUUCAGGUUCGGCUGAUCCAUGAUAUGUCUCAAGCUCUUGUGAUCCGUGUAAAUGGUACAACGGACCCCAUAGAGAUAGUGUCUCCAUAUCUUGAGGGCGAACACCACCGCCCCCAGUUCCAAGUCAUGCGUAGGCUAUCUUGUCUCAUGCGGCUUCAGCUGCCGCAAUGCGUAGGCUAUCACUCGCCCUCUCUGCAUGAGGACCACCCCUUAACAUGUGAUGGAUGCAUCACAGAACACCACAAAAUCCUCGACUCCUUUUGGGAGUGUCAAUACUGGAGCCUCGCACAAUUGCUGACGGAGGGUCUCAAACGCCCUCUGUUGCUCGGGACCCCAUCGGAAAUCCUCUCCCAUCCUUGUCAGACGAGUGAGUGGCACUGCGAUCUUGGAGAAGUCCCGUAUGAACCUCCGGUAGUACGCUGCCAACCCCAGAAAGCUCCUAAUAUCCGAGGGAGAUUUCGGAACCUCCCACUGCAUAACCGCCUCAAUUUUGGCUGGAUCGACCAAAAUUGCAUCUUGGUUAACGAGAUGUCCGAGGAACUGGACCUCCCAUAAACAAAACUCACACUUCGAGAACUUGGCGUACAGCCGUUCCCGUCUCAGAACUCCCAACAGCUCUCGCAGAUGCUCUUCAUGCUGCUCUCGGGUCUUGGAAUACACCAACAUAUCAUCUAUAAACACUAUGACCGAGCGAUCAAGCAUCGGUCUACAGACCCGAUUCAUCAGGUCCAUGAACACCGCUGGCGCGUUGGCGAGCCCAAACGACAUCACCACGAACUCGUAAUGUCCAUAGCGAGUUUGGAACACGGUCUUCUCCAUUUCCUCGUCUCUGACCCUGACCUGAUGAUACCCAGACCUCAAGUCUAUCUUGGAAAACCAAGAUGCACCCUGUAACUGGUCGAAGAGAUCAUUUAUCCUCGGGAGUGGGUAACAGUUCUUCACCGUCAACUUAUUCAACUCCCGGUAAUCGAUACACAUCCGGUGCGAACCAUCCUUCUUCCGGACGAAAAGUAUCGGUGCUCCCUACGGAGAACUGCUACAUCGAACGAACUGCUUGCCUAUUAGUUCCUGCAGCUGCGAUGACAGCUCUUGCAUCUCUGGUGGUGCUAAUCGGUAUGGCGCCUUAGCAAUAGGGGCCGCACUUGGGACCAGGUCAAUCCUGAACUUGACCUACCUUUCUAGAAGUAUCCCUGGUAACUCCUCCGGGAAUACGUCUGCGAACUCCCUGACCACCAGUACGUCGGAAACCGAAAUCUGAUCCCUGGCUCGCAUAUCUAUCACAUACGCUAGAUAACCUGUACACCCGUGCUGAAUGUACCGUCGUGCCCUGGUAGCUGAACAAAACCCUAAUCCCACUCUUGUGCCCUCGCCAUAUACAAUCAGUUCUCCCCCACUUGGGGUCCGAACUACUACACGCUACCCCUCACAGUUGAUCAUGGCAUCGAAUCGAUUGAGCCAAUCCAUGCCUACAAUCACGCAUACCUCCCCCAUGGGAAUCAGAAUCAAAUCUAUCGGAAAUGACACCCCAAAAAUCUCCAAGUCACACCCUCGAUAAACUGAAGAAGCAGAAACCCCGUGUUCAUUGGCGAUAGAGACUCGCAACGGACACUCUAACUCGUUCACUGGCGCACUGAACUCCCUAAUAAAUGUAUGAGAUACGAAGGACCGACUUAACCCCGAGUCAAAUAAGACCAAAGCAGGCAAGGAGUUCACUAAGAACGUACCUAACCACAGGUGCAACAGAUAAGAAUGCAACAGAUAUAGAAAACAAGAUAAGGAUAGAAACAUACCAGCAACCACAUCUGGAGCUGCUCUGGCCUCAUCCACUGUAAGCUGGAAAGCACGACCCUAAGCCUUUGGAGGCUUUGCCUUGAAAGAUCUCCCAUCUGUGAUCCUCAAAGUAGUCGGUGCUAGAGCCUGCGCCGGCUUGGCGGCGAGUAACAGGCAGUUGGCCUUCAAAUGGCCUACCUGAUCACAAUGGUAACAUAACCUCAUACUCUGAACUGGAGCAUCCUGGCGACAGUCCUUCGCAUAAUGCCCCUCCUUGCCACCCAUGUGGCAUCCACUACCAGCUCGACACACACCAAAAUGACCCUUGCCACACUUCCUACAUGUGCGGCUCUGCUGAACCCCAGUCCUAGUAUCAGCGGUCUUAGACCGCUUCGACGCCGGCUGAGAAUGUGUCGGGGCCUGCUGCUGUUCCCUCAACUGCUGCUCAAUCUCCAACUCACGCCGUCUGGCGGCCUCCUGCAACUCUAGAAGAGUAUCACAUCGCUGGGUAGAUACAAACUGAUGGACAUCCGUCUUGAGCAUGCUUAGAUAACGGGUCAUCCGCGCCUGCUUUGAAGCAAACUUCGAGCAAAACAUCGCCCUCUCAGUGAACAUCCGGGUGAUCUCCAUCACCGACUCCCCAUCCUGUCUCAAACUCAAAAAGUCCUGUGACAAUCGCUCCCGCUCAACCCGUGGAAUGUAACGGGCACGGAACAUAUCCCUGAACUGCUCCUAAGUAACAACAACUCUCUGAUCAUCAGCGUAUUACCCAGUCGCAAGUCUCCACCAGUCCUUGGCCCCAGACCUAAGCAGGUUCAGAGCACACCUGACCUUCUGGUCAGCAGGACACGAGCCGGUGAAGAAACACCCCUCCACAUCUGAAAUCCACCUCAUAGCCUUGAUGGGAUCCUGCAUCCCAUCAAAAGUAGGGGGCUUCGUGUUAUCGAAGUCCCUGUACUGAAAACCUCUACCAACUCCUCCUCCCAUCGCUGAUACAGCUAAUGCAGCUGCUGCGGUGGCUGUCUCUCCAAGGGCUGCAUAGCGCUCAUCAAAAUACUCCACCAUGGCGGUCUUGAUCGAUCCAAACAUCUCCGGUAACUGAUCCCGGAAUGCAGCAACAACCUCAUCAUGCAGGAUCUCUCAAAAUCUGGCAACCAACUCCUCUGUACCCAUAUGCACCACUGGCUCAGGUGCUGUCGGUGCCUACUGGCCUCCAUCCCCUGAUCCUGAUCCCGAACCGGAUCCAUCCACGAAGUGCCUCAUCAUCAUCAUUCUGAAACAUACCACAAGAUAUCAGAUAAUUCAUAUAAAUCUUUAGGAGCUAACUCCCUACUAACCCUAGGGGUUGCGACUUACUUGACACGCGUAUAGGUUCUGUGCUUUCAGUAGCAUGGCCCCCUACUACCUUCCACACCUACCCAUAUUUGUCCCAAGUAUCCCCACAACACCCUAACAAUAUGCACAACAUGGCGAUCGCUCAAUCCUCACUCCUAGAGGAAUGCUAAAUAUCUCAUAACUGACCUCCCAGUCUCACUCAAUUCCUCCUAUCCAUGAAACUUUCACCAACCCUGCAACACUAAUGUAUGAUAACCAUACAUAACGCUGGACUCUAUAGACUUUCGAAUAUCCAAUCCUACUCCAAGCUCCCAGUGAAACAAGAACAUAACAUAAGGCCAAAUCAAACAUUCUCAGGCUAUAAGAUCUUAAUUAUGUACAACUAUGAUGCAUACAUUAGACGACUACUGUAAUGAUGUCAAUCUCACGUAAGGAAAAUCCUAGGCUAGCAGGCAUCGUGUAUUCAGACAAUUCUAUCAUGCAAUUCUUGAAGAUCCCUAGCCUAGCACUAACGUGUUGUUCUAUCAUAUCAUAUAAUCAAUUAACUUGUAUGGUAUUUUGGGGUCUACUUACUGGCUCCGACUGAUCAUAUGCCAUGCAUCCUCCUUUAUUUAUUUUAAAAAACUUUUUGAAAAAAAAAUCAUUUUGAAAAUCCUUUCCUUGAUUUGAGACUGGAGUCACACGAGUGUUCCUCUAAUUCACUCAAACCAAGGCUCUGAUACCAACUUGUAACACCCAAAAUUUCCAGCCAAAUUUAAACUUUCAAAACAUGUCGAAUUCAUUAAAACAUUACAACUUUGUUUUCAAAAUACAUUUAUAUCAGAGUUUUCCCAGAAACAUAACAUAAUAGGAGGAGCUGUACGAUCAUGCCUUCGCCUUGCCGCGAUCCCCUGAUGUACCUGAAACAAUAAACUGAAACUGUAAGCCCGAAAGCUUAGUUAGUUACCCCCAAAAUACCGAUACACAUACAGUCCACAUGACCAUGUCACACCAUACAUAUCAUAACAAACUGAGCAGAAUAGCACAUAACGGGUCCACAACUUUACAAACUGGAAUACCCCUGGGCCCACAGUGUGAGUUUGGAAUGCCUAUCGGGCCCUCAUCUCACAUCUGGAUUGCCACCAAGCCCUCAGUACGAGUCUGGAAUGUCUAUCAGGCCCUCAGCUCGUAUCUGGUAUGCUCCCAAGUCCUCAGUAUGAGUCUGGAAUGCCUACCAGGCCCUCAGCUCAUAUGUGGAAUACUCUAGGGUUUGUUGACUACCGCACGGAGCAGUACAACCUCAAGCCAUCCCAUAUAACAUAUCAACAUGUAACUAAUAAUGCACAUACAGGCAAUCAAUCAGUAUCCCAGGUAGUCCUACAGACCUACCCUCUAGCGUUUCAACUAGCAUGCAUAACUAACUCAUACUCAAC